rnacentral:rRNA from 1 species
UACGAGGGGGCUAAUGUUGUUCGGAAUCACUGGGCGUAAAGGGAGCGUAGGCGGGUGUUUAAGUUAGGUGUUUAAUCCCAGGGCCCAACCCUGGUCAGGCACCUAAAACUGGACAUCUUGAAUAGUGGAGAGGACGAUGGAAUUGGGGGUGUAGCGGUGGAAUGCGUAGAGAUCCCAAGAACACCGGUGGCGAAGGCGGCCUGCUGGGCAGUUGCUGACACUGAGGCGCGACAGCGUGGGGAGCAACAG